GUGGGUGUAGUUCAGUGGUAGAGUUCUUGUCUGACAUAUAUGAAGCCCUGGAUUCGAAUCCCGGUACUGUUA
rnacentral:tRNA from 1 species